rnacentral:rRNA from 1 species
AAAAAAGCCCAAGGUUUCCUGCGCAACGUUCAUCGGCGUAGGGUUAGUCGGCCCCUAAGGCGAGGCCGAAAGGCGUAGUCGAUGGGAAGCGGGUUAAUAUUCCCGCACCUGCUGUUACUGCGAUGGGGGGACGGAGAAGGCUAGGUCAUCCGGGCGACGGUUGUCCCGGUUCAAGCGUGUAGACAGGUGGCUCAGGCAAAUCCGGGCCGCCCAUGUCGAGGCGUGACGACGAGCCUCCACGGAGGCGAAGUGAUUGAUGCCAAGCUCCCAAGAAAAGCCUCUAAGCUUCAGGUAACAGGGGACCGUACCCCAAACCGACACAGGUGGGCAGGGUGAGAAUCCCCAGGCGCUUGAGAGAACUCUGGUGAAGGAACUAGGCAAAAUAGUACCGUAACUUCGGGAGAAGGUACGCCCCUAGUACGUGAAGGCCCAGCGGCCGGAGCGGACGGGGGUUGCAGUGACCAGGUGGCUGCGACUGUUUACUAAAAACACAGCACUCUGCAAACGCGUAAGCGGACGUAUAGGGUGUGACGCCUGCCCGGUGCCGGAAGGUUAAGUGAUGGGGUUAGCCGCAAGGCGAAGCUCUUGAUCGAAGCCCCGGUAAACGGCGGCCGUAACUAUAACGGUCCUAAGGUAGCGAAAUUCCUUGUCGGGUAAGUUCCGACCUGCACGAAUGGCGUAACGAUGGCCACGCUGUCUCCACCAGAGACUCAGUGAAAUUGAAAUCUCGGUUAAGAUGCCGAGUACCCGCGGCUAGACGGAAAGACCCCGUGAACCUUUACUAUAGCUUCACACGGGACUUUGAAUCGACUUGUGUAGGAUAGGUGGGAGGCUGUGAAGCCCGGACGCCAGUUCGGGUGGAGCCACCCUUGAAAUACCACCCUGGUCGAUUUGGAGUUCUAACCUCGGUCCGUGAUCCGGAUCAGGGACAGUGUGUGGUGGGUAGUUUGACUGGGGCGGUCUCCUCCCAAAGCGUAACGGAGGAGCACGAAGGUACCCUCAGCGCGGUCGGAAAUCGCGCAUUGAGUGCAAAGGCAUAAGGGUGCUUGACUGCGAGACAGACACGUCGAGCAGGUACGAAAGUAGGUCUUAGUGAUCCGGUGGUUCUGUAUGGAAGGGCCAUCGCUCAACGGAUAAAAGGUACUCCGGGGAUAACAGGCUGAUACCGCCCAAGAGUUCAUAUCGACGGCGGUGUUUGGCACCUCGAUGUCGGCUCAUCACAUCCUGGGGCUGAAGUCGGUCCCAAGGGUAUGGCUGUUCGCCAUUUAAAGUGGUACGCGAGCUGGGUUUAGAACGUCGUGAGACAGUUCGGUCCCUAUCUGCCGUGGGCGUUGGAGAUUUGCGGGAAGCUGCUCCUAGUACGAGAGGACCGGAGUGGACGUACCCCUGGUGUUCCGGUUGUCACGCCAGUGGCACUGCCGGGUAGCUAUGUACGGACGGGAUAACCGCUGAAAGCAUCUAAGCGGGAAGCCCCUCCCAAGAUGAGAUCUCCCUGGACCCUUGAGGUCCCUAAAGGUCCGUCACAGACUAUGACGUGGAUAGGCGGGAUGUGGAAGCGCGGUAGCGCGUGCAGCUAACCCGUAC